UCGGUUUGGUUUUGGUUUUUUUGGUUUCGGUUUCCUUCUUCUCGGUUUGUUUCUGUUCUUCUCUCUCUCUUCGGGUCGUUCUCUCUCCUUCUCUCUUCGGGUCUCUCCUCUCCCUCUCUUCGGUUUUUUCUUCUUUAUUUAUAGGGGCAGCACGGGUAGGGGACCAUGGUUAGUGCGCCUUCAAUCACGCAUGGCUGGUCGGUUC
rnacentral:lncRNA from 1 species